rnacentral:rRNA from 1 species
UACAGGGGGAGCAAGCGUUGUUCGGAUUUACUGGGCGUAAAGGGCGCGUAGGCGGCCAGCACAAGUCAGUUGUGAAAUCUCCGGGCUUAACUCGGAAAGGUCAACUGAUACUGUGCGGCUAGAGUGCAGAAGGGGCGACUGGAAUUCUCGGUGUAGCGGUGAAAUGCGUAGAUAUCGAGAGGAACACCUGCGGCGAAGGCGGGUUGCUGGGCUGACACUGACGCUGAUGCGCGAAAGCCAGGGGAGCGAACGGG